GGCCUCAAGGGAUCCUCCCACCUCAGCCUCCCAAAGCACUGGGAUUAUAGGCAUUAGCAACCAUGCCUGGCCAUCCUUAGUUCUUUUUUCUGUGGCCACUUUGUCACAACAGGAGGGCCAGUGCUUCCUAGAGCUUGGUGGCUGGGUUGCAGAAGGGAACAUUGGAGGAGGACUAGCCCCAACAGGCAAGUGCUUUUCAAACCUCUCCUUGCCUUGUUCUUGCUGAUGUCCUAUUGGCCAAAGCAGGUCACACAGCCAAGCCCACUGUCAGCUUGGGAAGGGAUUGCACAGGGAGGAGUGUGCUGAGAGGCGUGACUCCCUGGAGGACCAGUGAGUGGUCUAUCACAUACUGCUACGGAGCAGGGCACAAGCCUCGUUUUGGGAACUGGAAGAAAAUGUUCCUGGUGGUGAACUUCAUGGCUGAGUGUCUGCACACCGCAAAAGAGAAAGCAGCACCCCAUGGUACGUGUGAAGGCCACUGCCGAUGGUGUCUGUCUAUGGUCAUUCUGUGCCGUCCUCUACCACAACUCCCAGUGAGGCAGGGUCUGACUUAGAUGCUGCAGUGUCCUGCCAAUGCCUGGAGUUUCACCAGUUUGGGAACACAGGGAGCCCAGUUUUGUGGAGAGGGACAAAUCUACUGUCGAGGUCACACCACUAAGAGACGUUGCUUUGACACACUGAUAUUCAGGACAGCAUCCAGCUUGGCCGAGCACAAGUGUUGGUGUCAAGGUCACUGUCAGUAGCCUGGCUGAACCUCAUCCGCUGGGGAAAUGGGGUUUGCUUAGUAAGGACUGAAGACAUUUGUUUCGUAAGGACAGGGACCUUGUGUUUCUGGUUCACGUCUACACCCCAGCUACUCAACACAGCAGAUGCUCCAGAACUAUGUGCCAGAAACUGCAGAUGAUUCAGAAGGUUUUCAGGGACAAUGCAAUGAAUGCAGGCAAACGUCACUGUGGCACAAAUGCUUCAAAGAUGGUCGAGAAUCUGUUGAAAGUGAUCCACGUUCUGGAAAGCCUGCAACAAGCAGAACACCUGAGAAUGUUGAACGGAAACAGUGGAAGAAGGAGACAGAAGAAGAAGCUGAAGUGAAGCAACGUAGGAAGGACUCAACCUGACACUGCAGCUUUGAAGAUGAAGGAAGGUGGCAUGAGCCAAGGAAUGUGAUGGCGCCUGGAAGCUGGAAAAGACAAGGAAAGGAAUUCCCUCCUAGAGCUUCCAUAAUUUGCCCUUACUUCUUGGAACAGGGUUAUAAUAGCUGCAGAUUGCUGACUGCAAGAUGACACAAAUGUUAAAACUAUUAGAAAAAGAUGCCAAGAUGAGAAAAUCAGUUCCACUUGGAAGUAGCAAAUGUCACUAACAUUGAGGGGAAAGUAUCAUCCAACUUUAUGCUGAGAAAGAGAAGAACUGGAUGACCCCAGACCCUUAUAAGCUGGCGACCUUGAACAUCAGUUCCUUCUUCUGCAAAAAGAAGAACAUCGAUUCCUUCUUCUGUAUCCCACCUGUGCAGAUACAAUAUGAUUAUGAACGUAG